rnacentral:rRNA from 1 species
UACGAGUGCGUCGAGCGUUGUCCGGAAUCAUUGGGCGUAAAGGGCGCGUAGGUGGCGCGGUAAGCGUGCGGUGAAAGCCUGGGGCUCAACCCCGGGUCGGCCGUGCGAACUGCUGGGCUUGAGCACUGUAGAGGCAGGCGGAAUUCCGGGUGUAGCGGUGGAAUGCGUAGAGAUCCGGAAGAACACCGGUGGCGAAGGCGGCCUGCUGGGCAGUUGCUGACACUGAGGCGCGACAGCGUGGGGAGCAAACAGG